UAUGCAGGACUUGGACCAGGAACUACGAGAGAUGAACCCAGAGUGGGGUCUACCGGACAUGGACGUUCUGAGACAGCUGGCAUUUGGGAACGGGAUGCGUAUGGAGAGGAUGAUAGAGAUGGAGCAGUACAAUAAAUGUCAAAGUUUCCUGAAGACCAGACAUGGAAGCAGGGCUUCUUCUGCAUCUGAACAAACAUCCCAAUGACCCAUAUUUGAAUAUCUAUUUCUGUAAAUAAAGUAUGUUAUACAUUUUAUUUUGCAUGUGCCCUUUCAUUUUCAGCUCGACAAUGGCAACUAACCUGGUCCCAGAUCUGUUUCUGCUGUAUAGCCAACU